UACGUAGGGGGCAAGCGUUGUCCGGAUUUAUUGGGCGUAAAGAGCGUGUAGGCGGCCGCACAGGUCUGCUGUGAAAACUCGAGGCUCAACCUCGAGCUGUCGGUGGAAACCGUGUGGCUAGAGUCCGGAAGAGGAGAGUGGAAUUCCCGGUGUAGCGGUGAAAUGCGCAGAUAUCAGGAGGAACACCUGUGGCGAAAGCGGCGCACUGGACCACAACUGACGCUGAGGCGCGAAAGCUAGGGGAGCAAACAGG
rnacentral:rRNA from 1 species